UUCUUAUCCAGAGAGGGGGAGGGACUGACCCUAUGAACUCUCGGCAACCAGCCGCAACGGCCCGGUGCCAAUUUCAGAGGAAUGGUUCAUUCCGAAGAUGAGAA
rnacentral:ncRNA from 1 species